rnacentral:rRNA from 1 species
AUUGAACGCUGGCGGCAGGCUUAACACAUGCAAGUCGAGCGGGGGGAGGUAGCUUGCUACCUAACCUAGCGGCGGACGGGUGAGUAAUGCUUAGGAAUCUGCCUAUUAGUGGGGGACAACAUUUCGAAAGGGAUGCUAAUACCGCAUACGCCUAAGGGGGAAAGCAGGGGAUCUUCGGACCUUGCGCUAAUAGAUGAGCCUAAGUCGGAUUAGCUAGUUGGUGGGGUAAAGGCCUACCAAGGCGACGAUCUGUAACGGGUCUGAGAGGAUGAUCCGCCACACUGGGACUGGGACACGGCCCAGACUCCUACGGGAGGCAGCAGUGGGGAAUAUUGGACAAUGGGGGGAACCCUGAUCCAGCCAUGCCGCGUGUGUGAAGAAGGCCUUUUGGUUGUAAAGCACUUUAAGCGAGGAGGAGGCUACCGAGAUUAAUACUCUUGGAUAGUGGACGUUACUCGCAGAAUAAGCACCGGCUAACUCUGUGCCAGCCGCCGCCGUAAAAC